rnacentral:rRNA from 1 species
UGGGGAAUCUUGCGCAAUGCGCGAAAGCGUGACGCAGCAACGCCGCGUGGGGGAAGACGGCUUUCGGGUUGUAAACCCCUUUCAGGAGGGACGAAGGUUCGCCGGUGAAUAGCCGUGCGGAUUGACGGUACCUUCAGAAGAAGCUCCGGCUAACUACGUGCCAGCAGCCGCGGUAAUACGUAGGGGGCAAGCGUUGUCCGGAAUCAUUGGGCGUAAAGCGCGCGUAGGCGGCCCUGUAAGUCCGUUGUGAAAGUCAAAGGCUCAACCUUUGAAAGCCGAUGGAUACUGCAGGGCUAGAGUCCGGAAGAGGCGAGUGGAAUUCCUGGUGUAGGGGUGGAAUGCGCAGAUAUCAGGAGGAACACCAAUAGCGAAGGCAGCUCGCUGGGACGGUACUGACGCUAAGGCGCGAAAGCGUGGGGAGCAAAC